UCCAUCUCCUAUAACCAGCAACCCAUCCAAAUUUAUCCAUUUUCUCUGAAAAAUAAGCUCCACGAAAAUGGCUAGGGAGGCAAAACCUUGGUUCCGUUAAGAAGAAGGAGAAAUCUCAGUAAAAUCUCGAUUUGCCGAAAUCUCAUUACUUUAAAUCCUUAAUUUUUUUGCUUAAUUCAAUGAAACGUUGUCGCUAAGCCGUCGAGUAUUGACAGCUGAAGAGUGAACGCAAAAACAGUUGAGCCAGAAACUAGGGUUUUAUAGUCGGAGGAGAGAGAAAAUCUUGAGAAACAAUGGCGAAAUUCAACGAAGUACAGAAGAAAAGGAGAGCACUAAUUUCACAGAAUAAGAGAGCAGUGCACGGUGUUCCCUUCACUAAGAAGCUUAAACGCCAGACGCAACUUCAAUCUGUCUCCGGGAAGCGCAAGAAAAAGAACCUCAAAAAAUGGCGUCGGGAUCAAAAGGAGUUGAUAGAGAAGGGUCUUGUUACUUUGGAUGAUGUUGACAUGGCUCCCGCCGAUGGUCGAUUGUAUGCGAUGGAACUAGGGCAGCAGAUUCAUCAAAUAGGUGGACCUGCUAGGGGGAUAUUAUGAUGAUGGAGACAAUGUAAAGUACGGGCUGCAGGGGAACAUAAACCUGGUACUGAGAUUGCUGCUGAAACUUCUGCUGCCAUGGCUGCUGCUUCUAUUGUCUUCCGCAAAACUGAUAAAAAAAUAUGCUCGCCAACUCCUCAACAAGGUUAAAUACGUUGAACCUCAAAACCAUGUGAGGGUCUCGCAAGCAGAGCUCUUGAUCAUAUUGAUAAGAUUGAUGGCGGGGUUGUUUUCAUCGAACUAUACCUCAAAUAUUGAUAAGAAUAUUUAUAAGCAGUUCUGGUAGCAGCAGUUUUGGGAGCUAGCAGCAAUUCUGACAGCAGCAGGGCAAACAGCCAGCCGGUGCCGCUCUUAAUAGCUCCAACAGCAAUGCAGCCAGAAAAGGCUGAGGAGGCGGACAAUUUCAGAACCAGCUUGUUAAAAUGAAUGGCUCUUGUUUCUAUCAUCUAGCCUGUUGUUUGGAUAAUUUGUGUUGUUUGUUUUCAAUAUGUCAAAGGAACUUUGGUUU